GAACGUGCGAAACGUAAUGUGAAUUGCAGAAUUCAGUGAAUCAUCGAAUCUUUGAACGCAUCUUGCGCCCCUUGGUAUUCCGAGGAGCAUGCCUGUUUGAGUGUCGUGAACUACUCUCAAUUUCAAUCUUUUUGUUUGAAGUUGGAUUUGGGUGUUGUCAUGGAUCACCAUGACUCGUCCUAAAUGCAUUAGCGAUCUGGCUUGAUCACACACAAUGUGAUAAGAAAAGCAUUGUUAUAAUUGAGUCAAGACCGCUUCUAAUUGUCGCAAGACAAAAGUCAUUUUCAUGUCAUUUGACCUCAAAUCAGGUAGGACUACCCGCUGAACUUAA
rnacentral:misc_RNA from 1 species